GGCAAAUCCUCUAGUUAGCGUUCUGACAACGUUAAUUUCCUUUGUACCGGUCAUCUCUUCUUCUUGAAAAGCUGGGAUAAAGUUGACAGUCUUUAUAGAUGAAAGGAGGUUGCAUCUAAAAGUUUCUCACAAGCUUAAAAAAAAAAAAGACAAAUGAGAAAUUGACACCAUUAUACAGAAGAAUUCAGAAAAGCCGAGCACCAGGGCAGAGAAGCAGCGUCAGACACAGGUCAUCUUUGGAAAGGGAGGAAGUUGGACAGCAUCUGGAGGGAGUGCCUUUUGUAAAGCCUGCAUCAGACUUUGUGAUCAGGGACAAAAUGGUGCACGGCGAACAAGAACAGCAUCCAAAAGCUAAGGUUAGUAAUGACAUAAAACGGUGGAGCCACACAAUAAAAACUGUGACUGUACUGACACAAUGCUGGUGAUCAACUGAAGAGCAAGUUCCUUGCGGACAAAGGACUACCUACUAUGUCUGGGAGACAUUCUAUGGACAAAAAACCCUAAUACCCUUGCCUAGAGUGAACAGGCCUGCCUGCGAUUGGGAGGACACAGGGUAGGGGAACGAAGCUGUAGUCAACGGGAGAUGUGUGUGCCCUUGUUCGGGCAGCACUGACUUCCCAGGUUGUUUCGCUGGGUCAGGAACAUGACCUUAGAAUUCUGGAAAACUGGCAGAAAGGCAUUUAGACAAGAAAAAUGGGGCUGUGCAGCAGUUCUCCAGACAGAGGGAGUGGGUCAAAGGUCACAAGGAGGACGGGGAGAAGUAGGCUGCGGGAGAGCUUGAGCAGUGAAGUAGAAGAGUCCACCCUUCGGGUCACAUUGCUUUCAAAGACAGCCUGUGCUCCCUCUCACCUGUAACUGACUAAGCACCUUCUGCAU